rnacentral:rRNA from 1 species
UACGGGGGGGGCAAGCGUUGUUCGGAAUUACUGGGCGUAAAGCGUGCGCAGGCGGUUUUGUAAGCCAGAUGUGAAAUCCCCGGGCUUAACCUGGGAAUGGCAUUUGGGACUGCAAGGCUCGAGUGCGGCAGAGGAGACUGGAAUUCCUGGUGUAGCGGUGAAAUGCGUAGAUAUCAGGAGGAACACCGAUGGCGAAGGCAGGUCUCUGGGCUGACACUGACGCUCAUGCACGAAAGCGUGGGGAGCAAACAGG